rnacentral:lncRNA from 1 species
GCAAGACAGGGAGUUCACUAUUUUUAUAGCUAACCAGACGGCGGAGAAUCAUGCAGACGUGAUCACAUGGAGCGGCGGAAACGGAGUUCCCAUAUACAGAGAUUAUGCGGUCAUGAUGCCAAGCCAGGGAAGCAACAAAAAACAAAACCUCUACAUACAACUGCAUCCUAACCCGGACUGGAGAACCCGUUACAAUGAUGCAAUUCUGAAUGGAAUCGAGCUCUUCAAAGUCAGCAAGUUUGAUAACAGCCUGGCCGGACCAAAUCCAGACCCGCCUCCUAAUUCGGUUCCCCCACCGCCUGCACAGUCUACCUCGCCGAAGGAUUAUGACACACAGCUUGUAGCAAUUGUCUGCGGCAUGGUUGCCUGCAUAGUUGCACUCUCUACUCUAUGUUUAUUCAUUCGCCGGCGAGGAGGGAGACGGCGAGACGCCGACCCAGGAGCAUCGUGGUGGGGUCCAUUUUCUUAUACUAGUGCUCAGUCCACCAGGGCCAGCUAUUGAAGACUUUCUGGACUCUGACAAAGACUCUUGUACACGUUAUCUCAAUUUCAUACAUUAUGAAUUGACUAAUAAGUUUUAAAGCAAGUGGAAUUUAAGGUGAACACGAGAGAAUCUUAAUCUUCUUGACACGUGUGUGACUAGAGUCACCUUUGAAUUUUAUCCUUUUCCGAAAAAUAAAUAAAUAAAUAAAUAAUGAAAAUAAAAAAAUAAAGGAAGAUAAAAAUUAAUAAAUUAUUUUUAUUUAUUAUUUUUAAAUUACUAUUACUUUUUAAAAAAAAAAAACUUAAAAACAUAUAAUUUUUAAUUAAUUUUCAUUUUAUUUUUUUAUAUUUAUUAUAGUAACAUCAAAUAGAAGAAAAUGAUCAAACCUUGUGUAAAAAAAUAUGACUCCAACCAAUGAAUUUGUACAUAUAUGUGCCAAAAUAAUUAAUAAUUUCCAUAUGGAUUUUGUAACUAAUCCACCACUGAUCCCUCUAAACUGGAAGGAGUGGGUUGUUAUUAACUUCUUCCCAAAAUUCUUUUAACCAGCAAUUCAAUAGUAAAUAAUUUAUUUUUAAAGUUUUAACUUAUCACUUUUUUUUAAGAAAUAUCUUGUCUUAAUAGAAAUUUUGAAUUUUCUUUUUAACUUUUAUCUUAAUGGGAAAAUUACUUUUGUUCAUUUCUCUUUUCAAACCUUUAACUUGGUUAAUAUUCAAUUCUAAUUUAUUACAUAAAAUAAAACCAAAUUUAUUUUUAAAAAUUUUGGAGUAAGUACUAUCUUAAAAAUAAAUAAACUAUCCCAAUUUAUGUCAUUUGGAUAAGAAAUUAAUUUACUAUAAAUUCACAAAGUCACCAAGAAAAAAAUUAUAUAUGACUAAAAUAUAUUUUGUUUUUCUCCAACUUUCUCUUUUCCAAAAAAAAAAAUAUUGAUAUUUAAAAAAAAUUCAUAAAUUGUUUCAUGAAAACAAAAUCAAUAGUAUAAAAAUUACUUAAUUUAGAUAAAUAAUUAAUCUAAAAUAAAUUCACUAAAUUCUAAACCAAAUUUGAAAUUCUAUAGUAUGUGUUGUUAUUAUUUGUCUCCUAACUCAUAUAAUCGGUAAAAAAGGAAAAUUAAAUUAAGAAAGAAAUUUAAUGUCUAAUCUUUACCUUGAGGGGCAUGAAUAUGUAGUCUUUGAAUUAGUCCUCAAAUUAAUACUUUAUCAUCAAUUUUUAGUUUGUCUCUUUAAAUUAAUUAUUUAUUAUGUAUUGAAAGCAACCAAUCUCAUACAAAUAUAAAUAAAAUCAAUCGCAUAGAUUAACACAUUGAUUCAUAUAUAGAAAAGCCAUCUAACAAUCUAUUAGGUGUAAAAAAACCAUGGAUGGUCUCUCGACCACUAAAUAAUCCACUAAUUAUGAACAAAAGGACAUACAAUUUUACUUGUUUGGAUGCAUAUCCUCAUUAAGAUCUUAUUUCGUUAGCACUUAUACUCAUUUUUCACGUUCCAAAGGCAAUACUCUUUUGUACUCUUUAAUGGAUUCCUCAAAACCCUUAUUGAAGUUUUGUGAUGAGAUCUCCGACUUAUGUCAAAAGUUACUCUAAAAAAAUGGUCUUGAAAGUUUAAGAGUUGAAGGAUUAAACUUUGAUGAAUGAUUAUGUUCUCUUAAGGUUUAUAAAAUUUCACUUUUAUUUUAAACAAAAUAUUUAUAUUUAUAAGACCUUUUUUAGAAUUAUGGGAGACUUUCCUAAUUUUUAAAUAUUCUAAAAAUCAUUUUUAGAAUCAAAUACCAAUUUAAAGAUACAAUUUUAGAACUUAUCAAAAAUAAUUUUUGGAAUUGAAAACAUUGUAGAAAGCAACGUAAGAAAUAUAAAAUAUCUCCUUCCUAAUUUCUCAUUUUAGUAAUUUUAAAAGUUUUAUUGACCAUGGAUACAUACAUACUUUUAAUUUUACAACUUGAAAUAACUUGAAUCAGAAUUUGAAGAAAUACAAAGUUGUCUUGUGAUAAAAAAGAUUGAAGGAAGUAAAUUGCAUCUAAUUAGUAAGAAAAAAAAAACAAAAUUAUCAACUAAAUAAAAUAUACUAUCAAUUUCCUCUUUGAUAAUUUUGUAACAGAAUACAAAGAUACAAUGAAACCCCUCGUAACUCUCAUAAAACCUCAAGGAUACGAUCUUAAUCCUAGUCUAAACAACUUUAUACGCAAUAAUAUUAAUUUCCUAUGAUCUACACUUACUUAAACAAUAAACUUGUGAAAAGCACGGAAAAAAAAUAUAUCAUUAAUAAACUUAAUGAACAUUUUUACUCCAUUUUUGUCACAAAAAUGACAAAAAUAAGAAUGAUAAAGCAAUCACGAAGAAUUAAAAUACCUAAUGUCCAAAUUCAAUUCAACGGAGAAAACAAAGUUCCAAAAGAUAAUUCAAAUAACAACAAAAUAUUCUCUCUCUAGUUAAUCAAAAAAAUUGUAAAUGUAUGAAGUUCUAAAUCUAUUGACUUAGCUUCCUAAAAUGUAUUCUAUCCUAAGGAAGUUCAAAUUAAACAUUAAAACUUUAUGAUCAAACCGAAUUUCAAAUAAAUUCUUAAAUUUUCAAAGGUCAAUAUUAAACACUUUUUAACACUUCUUGGAAUAUUUUAAUACUCUUGAAUUAGAAUUUUAAAAAACUCAAUGAGGAAGUAAGUAAUCUAAAUAUAAUAGAGCAUGAAAAAUUAUUCAAUAACCUUAAGAAAAGAAAAGAACCAAAAUAGUUUAAUUUCUAGAAUUUAAAAGAUUUUUAAGAUUAAAAAGGAUAAACCAAGGCAAAUCUUCAAUUCUAAAUAAUGAAAUCAUUAACCUGAAAUUUUCAUUCCACCUUACAUUAUUAUUUAAAAAAAUACUUAUUUUUUUUAAAUAAAUACUUAUACAUGAUAUCAUUUGACUUUAUAAUUCCCCAAAACUUUUGAAUUUUUCAUUUUUUUUUAUGGGGCAAUUUUAGAAUAAAAUGAAACAUCCUUGGACUUAAGAUAUCGAAUUUUGAAUUUGUCUAAAGUAGUUUUUUUCACCAUAGGAAUUUUAAAAUAUUUUUAUUUUAUGCACAGAUAUUUCAAACAUAUUCAACACUUUCAAAACCUAUAUAUUAAUAAGAAAAAAAUAAUUUAAUUUGAUUUCCUUUGAAAAACAAGAAGAAACAAAUCUACGUCACUUUAGAAUUUUCAAAAACACUCAAUUCACAUCUUGAAAUAUCUAAGAAAAGAUCUUUACUUAUUAAGACCAUUAUAUAGAUUAAUUAAAAUGCAUGUUUCUAAUCACAACAAGGAAUAAAAUUCAUGUCCAUUUUCCCUAAAUUUCAUAAAGCUUUAAAAUUUUUUAAGAAAAAUGAUAAUUAAAAGAAUAUAUUUAUUUUCUAAUAACAUGAAUCUAAAUCUUAUCAAUUUUAAAAAUGUUUUUCCCCCUCAAAACAAGGGCCUAAAAUUGAGAAGAGAUAGAACCAUGAUCCAACAUACAAAUCAUACUUUAAUGAGUAACUAAUUCCCUAGAUCUCAUACUUUAGAACAUCAAGACUGAUUAACAAUGAAGUCUUAAAUAAAAAUAAAUAAAUAAAUAAAUAAAACUCAAUAACUCCCAAUAUAUAUAGCAUGGCGAAUAAAAUUCAAAUAACAAGUUGUAUAUGCAUGCAUAAGAAAGGAAAAAGAUUAUCAACCAAAUAAAAUAUACUAACAAAUUCUUUAAGAUUAUACUUGGUUUUGAGAAAAUAUUAAAAAAAAAAAAGUUAAAAAUAAUUUUCUUAUAUUUAAUUAUGUUAUGAAAAAUAUAAAAAAAAUAAAUCAAAUAUGAUAAAAAUUAGUUAAAAAUUUAUAUAUUUUUAAAUUAUUUAAUUUUUAUAUUAAAGAAUAAAAUUAAAUAAAAUAAGUUUAAAGUAAUAUAUAAAAAUAAUUUAUUAUUAUUUAUUUAUUUUUUUCAUUUAUUUUAUUUUAUUUUUCUAACAUUUUCCUGGGAAUCAAAUAUACCAAAAAAAAAAAAAAAAAAAAGUUUCCUAGAUUCUCUAUUAAAAAAUGAGAGUGUAAUUUUGUUGUAUUUGGUGGGCAUGCAUGAAAAGAUGAUAAGAUGAUGUAGGGCCCUCCGAGUUUAUGAUCACUGCACCUCCGCCGGGCACUAACCAAUGUGGACUGUUUCCACUCUUAAUUACCCAAAUAAGACGUUUGGAUCUGAUUGGGUGUGUUCAACCACUUUGAGGGGUCUACUUCUACCAGCCACUUGCCGACCCACGGAUUUGAUAAGUUGUGUCUAAGUCUUCCAUUGCCCCUAUUGAUUACUCAUUACCCAUUUGUCAUCGUCUUUAUGUCCCUGUCUACUUGAGAUCUUCUCAGUGCUCACCCAUUAUUUUUACAUAGGAAAUGCUAUUUUAUUUUUCGUGUAUAGAUUAUCAUCUAAAAUUGAGAUGAGAUAGAACUAUCAUCCAACAUACAAACCAUACCCUAUUGAGUAAACAAGGGCCUCUAAAAAAAUGUUUUCUGAUCACUGCAGUACUGCACCUCUACCGCGCACUAGCCAAUGUGGACUGUUUCCACUCUUAAUUACCCAAAUGAGACGUUUGGAUCUGAUUGGGAAAAUUCAACGACUUUGGGAGUUCUACUUCUAGUUCUACCAGCCAGUCGCCGACCCACGGCUUUUAUAAGUCGUGUCUAAGUCUUCCAUUGCCCCAUUGAUUACUCAAUACCCAUUUGUCAUUAUCUCUAUGUCCCUGUCUUCUCGAGUUCUUCUCACCCAUUAUUUUUACGUAGGGAAUGCUAUUUUAUUUUUCGUGUAUAGAUUAUCAUCCGGUGCUAAUAUAAUUUUAUGAAUAUCCAUAAUAGUAGUAUCUGCAUAUAAUAUUGCCCCAUCUCCUUCCCUGCUUCUCCUCUCCAUGAUUUAACUUCCUCUCUUCUUCCCUAAUAUCUCUCCAUCGCAAAAAUUGGGGCCUUCAUCUGCCACCAUGAGGAAUACUGGCCAUAGAUGCCUCUGUUUAAUCAUUCCAUCCAUUCUCACCCCUGUCUAUCUCUUUAUCUUCCUCCACUACCUCACCAUCCCCAUCGCUGGUUACACUUACACCCCUACAGAAAACUUCGCCAUUAAUUGUGGCUCCGCCGAAAAUUGGCAAGCAUUGGCCAGGAACUGGACGGGCGACGUCGAUUCCAAAUUCUCCCCUUCGGAAAAGGGCGAGCUAUCAACAACAUCUCUCGCAGCCGAACAACCUUUUGAAUCGUUUCCCUAUUCCACAGCGCGGCUAUCUCGCAAUGAGUUCACAUACUCAUUUCCCCUCACAGCCGGCCAGAAAUACAUUCGCUUGCACUUUUAUCCAUCUUCAUACGGGGAGUUCGACAGAUCUAAAGCUUUUUUCUCGGUCAAAACCGGUGGUGGCUACACUCUUCUUAGCAACUUCAGUGCUGCCCUUGCUGCUGAAGAUAUUCAAAAGGAAACGAUAGUGAGAGAAUUCUGUAUCAACUUCAACGAAGAAGGUGAGAAGCUGAAUAUUACAUUCACUCCCACUGCGGGCGCAGAUGCAUACGCUUUUAUUAACGGAAUUGAAAUUGUCUCCAUGCCCGACAAUCUCUACUACACUGCACAAGAUGGAGGGUUUCAGUUUAUCGGUCAACAGAAUUCAUUUUUCGUUGAAACAGAUCAUGCUCUGGAAAAUGUAUACCGACUAAACGUAGGUGGGAAAUCUCUUUCGCCCACGGAUGACACCGGCAUGUUCCGUACUUGGGAUGCGGACGAUGAAUACUGUGUGAAACUAGCAUUUGUACCCGCCAACACCAGCAUUAAUCUCAAAUUCACCCAAAUACCAAAUUACACGGCACCUCUUGAUGUCUACCGCACCGCCCGGACCAUGGGAAACAACAAAACUGAGAACAUGGGAUACAAUCUGACUUGGUUUUUGCCUGUGGACUCUGGUUUUAGUUACCUGCUUAGAUUACAUUUUUGCGAGUUCCAACCAGAGAUCCAGGAGCAGCACGACAGGGAGUUCGCGAUUAUCAUAGCCAACCAGACGGCGGAGAAUCAUGCAGACGUGAUCACAUGGAGCACGGGAAAUGGAGUUCCCAUAUACAAAGAUUAUGGGGUAAUGAUGCCAAGCCAGGGAAGUAACAAAAAACAAAACCUCUACAUACAACUGCAUCCUAACCCGGAUUCUGAAACCGUUUACAAUGAUGCAAUCCUCAACGGAAUCGAGCUAUUCAAACUCAGCAAUCCUGAAAAAAGCCUCGCCGGGCCCAAUCCAGAUCCAUCGGAGGCUCCUGCCCCACCACCGCCUGUACAGUCUACCUCGCCCAAGAGAAACAAAACAAAGCUUAUCGCAAUUGCCGGUAGCGUGGUCGCAGGCCUAAUCGCGCUCUCUGUUAUAGUUCUCUUUAUUGUCUGGCGAGGAAGGAGAGUAAGAGACUCCGAACCCAGCGAUGGAGGAUCAUGGUGGGGCCAAUUUUCUUAUACCUCGGUGAAGUCCACGAAGACCAGCCGCUCAUCUCUGCCCUCCGAUCUGUGCCGUCACUUCACUCUGCAAGAAGUCAAGGUGGCCACUAACAACUUCGACCAAGUCUUCAUCAUCGGCGUCGGAGGCUUUGGGAACGUGUACAAAGGGUAUAUCAACGGCGGAACAACACCGGUGGCAAUCAAACGGUUGAAUCCAGAGUCACAGCAGGGGGCCCAGGAAUUCCAGACUGAGAUCGAGAUGCUUUCCCAGCUCCGCCACCUUCAUCUGGUAUCUCUAAUUGGCUACUGCAACGACGAUCGCGAGAUGAUCCUCGUGUACGAUUACAUGGCCCACGGCACUCUCCGCGAUCAUCUCUACAAAACAGAUAAUCCUCCAUUGUCGUGGAAGCAGAGGCUCGAGAUUUGCAUUGGCGCAGCUCGAGGGUUGCACUAUCUUCAUACAGGUGUGAAGCACACGAUCAUUCACCGGGAUGUGAAGACAACCAACAUCCUUUUGGAUGAGAAAUGGGUGGCCAAAGUUUCGGAUUUCGGAUUGUCAAAGAUGGGCCCUACCAGCAUGUCGAACGCCCACGUCAGCACAGUGGUGAAGGGUAGUUUCGGGUAUUUGGACCCAGAGUAUUACCGGCGGCAACAGCUAACGGAGAAAUCCGACGUGUACUCAUUCGGUGUAGUACUGUUUGAAGUACUGUGCGCGAGGCCACCCCUGAAUCAGACGGUGGAGAAAGAGCGGGUCAGUCUAGCACAGUGGGCCCCGGCCUGCUAUCGAGAUGGGAAGCUCGAACAGAUCGUUGAUCCGUUUUUAAAGGGUAAGAUAGCGCCGGACUGUCUGCAGAAGUUUGGGGAGAUCGCAGUGAGUUGUUUGCAGGAUCAGGGGAUCGAACGGCCAUCCAUGAGCGAUGUGGUGUGGGGCCUUCAAUUUGCAAUGCAGCUACAGGAGAGCGCGGAGCAGGAGAUGGAGAAGAGUGGGUCGUGGAGAAAAGUGAAGGACGAAGAAGCCCCACUGAAGGCCUCCAUUACUGAUGAUAGUGACGAUGCGUACGUGUUAACUAGUGAUAGUGGAGGCACGUGGGAUUCGAAGAGUAGUGGGGUAAUGAUACAAUCUAGUGGAGAAGAAAAAAGUUCAACCAGUUGUGAAUCUGAUGCGCUGAUGUCAGGUGCCGUGUUCUCUGAGAUCCUGAACCCAAAGGGGCGAUGAGGUGCAUCCCGUCUCCACAUCUCCACCUCCCUUUAUCAUGAUGCCGCCUCUCCAAUUUUUAAUUAUAAAUAGUGCCUUCAUGAAAUUUAGACUGUACUGGGUUGUUGAAAAUUGUAAUUUUCUUUUUCAAAAAGCGUAUGACCACAUGACUCCAAAAUGUUGACGAAAUUAACAUUGUGAAAAAUAAGUUUAUAAAAAACAAUUUUAUUAUUAAUUUAUCAAAUAAUUUUGAAGUUUUUGAGAAAAUCGAUUUCUCACCCUUUUUCUUUUCUUUUUUUUUUUUUUAAAUAAAAUUUCUCUCUCUCUCUCUCUUUUUUUUUUUUUUUUUUAGUGAAAAUCAUCACUUUGAAGGGACAUUUUUCACUUUUUUCACUUUUUUUUUUUUGAGAAAAUAGUAUAUUCAAGAGAUAAUUUCCCACUUUUUAGAUUUUUUUUUUUAAUUCUGACCUUUUUGAGAUUCUCACUUUCUUGUUUUGGUUUUGGUUUUUUAUUUUUUAAAAUUUUAUUUUAUUUUUUAUGAAAAUUUCUCACCUUUUUUUAUCCAUAAAAUUGUAUAUUUAAAAGACAAUUUCCUAUAUUUUACAAUUAUAUUAUUUUAUUUUUUAACAAAAUCAUCCAUUCAAAAAAAGAUUUCUUAUUUUUUUUAAGACAUAUUUUUCCCUUUAAUUUAUUUGGGAAAUUGUCCCUUUAAGAGACUAUUUUAACUAAAUGAUUUUUUUAAAGAAAAUAAAUUGUCGUUUAAAAAGUCAAUUUUUUUAAAAAAUACUUUUUAAAAUUUGAUAUGAGAAUUUUAUAUUUAUUUCUAUCCAUAGCACAUUGUAAAAUAUAAACGACCUUAGCAUUUAAUUGGAAAUUUCUUUUAUCAUGCUCAUCCCAUUUUUGUUUGGGUUUUGGAACCAUAACUCCAUAAACUAGUUUUGAAGGAAAAGUUGGGUCAUCUUCAAUGACAUCUCACAAGUCUAAGUUAGUUGACUGUAAAAAUGAAGUCAUUUUAGUUUUCCAAUAAGAAUAAUUGGUUCCCGCAAAAAAUGAAGGUAUAUUGGUAGCAAAACUUUUAAUGUGAGAAGAGCUUGAUGAAUUAGUCAUUUCCUCUUAGACAGUUAAAUCUUAAAUAAGAGGCCUAUUAUUUACCCAAGCUUCUAAUUGAGUGAGAGUUUCACUAUACUUGAAGCUUCAACCAAGCUUUUAAUCACCUUUAUACUUGGAUUCCAACUCCAAUGAGCUCUUACACAAUCCCUUCAAGUCUUUACUCACUUGAAACUUUUAACACUCAAAUAACAAGUUUGAAUAUCUCAACCUAGCUCAACAAGGGCUCAAAUACAACUUAAAUGUAAGGAAGAAUCACAAUGGUGCACUAAGGAAUAUGCAAAUGAAGAUUUAAUACACUAAGGAAAGAAUGAGAACUUUUGAUUCAAAAACAAGUAGGUAAACAAGUAAAUGCAGGUGUUUUCUUACUUAUAAAUGAAGUGGAGUUCUCAAUUUAUGGAUUUCUAGCAUCAAGAGCAAAAAAUGCCAAAAAACAGCCUCAACCGGUCAAGUUGGGGGUCGACUAAUUGACUAGUCAUUAUGUAAUAAAUGUAUGAUAGGUGGUCGUUAGGCCUCGACUGGACAUCGAUCGGUCAUCGACUGGGAAGACAUAUCCCUCGACCAAGAAUGCAAGGCUACUGGAAGAGAGAAUAUUUUUUACAUCUCUCGAUCGGACCUCAACUGGGAUAGUGUAACCGGUUGAGUCGGUUGGCCAAUACCUCGACUGGUUCACCAUUUUUGGCUCGAAAACCUAUCUUUUUGUUUUUGUUUUUUUUGUUUAAAUCUUUUCUCUUCUAACAUUUAGGCAAGGUCUUUAGGUAAAUUAAUAUGCUAGAUUUGAAACAAUUUGCUUAAGGUUCAUUUGAUAAAACUUAGGUUUUGAUGGAAAUGUAACUUUAAUGCAUAAACUGAGUUUUUAAAAAUGCAUGAAAAGAUAUGAAAACCCUAAGUGCACCUAUGCAUUCAUCUUACAUAUGUUUCCUAUGAUUAAAGGUUUUCCAAAUGUCUUGAUCUUGCAUCAAUUGGGUCAUUUGAUGAAUUUCCAAACUAAUACCUGAAAUUUUUUAUAAUUCAACCCAAUUAACAACUUAACCAUGAUUUGCUAUCAUCAAAAUAUGAUUAGGAGAACCUUUGGGCUAACAACUUUCAUGAAAAAUAUAAGAACUCAACUUAAUGACCUAUUUUUCAUCGUACACAAGCUCCCUAUGAAUUUGUGUCACAUUCUAACAAGAUGAAUUCUAUCAAACUCUUAAUAUUGUCUCUACAAUUAUUUAGUCUCAUAUUAUCUUAUUAUGUGAUCAACUAACACACAUUCUAGCUCAAAAGAAUUUAUGUCAAAUUCCAAUUAAGGAAUUACUAUAAUAAUAGAUUUUUUUUAUCACAUGUGCUUAGAAUCACUCAAGAGGGCACAUUGUUCCAAACCCGUGAGAUAUUAUGGUGGUUCUAUCAAGAAUACCUUUUACCACUACCCUUCAUUAACAAUGACUCAAUGCAUAAGGAAUAUAUGACCACCCUAUGGUCUCACUCGUGGGUUAAAGUUACUAUAGAGCUUAGUACAAGCUCAAUAUCAUAUUAAUGUUGAGAGACCAUACAUUAUAGCAGUUUGAUGAGAUCAUGACUAUCCAUAAAUCUUGUCAAUGUGUAACCAUAAACACUCAAGGAUGAAAAUAUUGAUUUUAGCAAAUAUAUCGAUAAUUCAAUUUUAUGGAUAUAUUAGGAAAUAUCGAUGAAUAUUUUGACACAACAUAUCAAUUAGGCAAAAAUUGAUCAAAACCCAUGAAAAUGUUAGGAAAAAAAUUCUAAAAAUGAUAUAAUAAUUAAUAAUAGAUAUUUUAAUUUUUUGUUAAUUAAAGAAAACGAUAUUGUAUGAUAUAAUUUAUCAUUAUGAUAAUAAUAUCAUGUGUGUCAAUAAAAAAAAUAUGAAUUUUAUAAGUGUACAUUUAUUAUUAAUUAAGUUACAUAAAAUAUUAUUCAAUAAUAGUAUUGCGACAUUUGAUUAUAAUGUCUAAUUUUAAAAUAUAUUUAAUAUUAAAAUUAUGAUUCAUUUAAUUCGAUUGUAUUUAAUGAUAUAAAAUAAAUGAUGAUAUAUGCACAAUUUUUUAAUAUUUAAUUAAUAUAUUAAUGAUAUAAAAAAUACCUAUGAAGAAAAUUAUCAUGAUAAUUUUUAUAUUUUUGGUAAUCAAUUAAAUGAAAUUUUUUUAUUUAAUUAUAAAAUAAUUAUAAUUAAUUUAUUCAUUAAAAUAUUCUUUAAACAUUUUUUUUUAUAUAUAUAUAUAAACUUGCCCCAAUGGUUGCGAUUCAUUGUGAACCUUUUAUAUGGGGUUCAAACCCUCCAUCUAGAGAAAGCAAUGAGCCAUUAUUGAGCAUUGACCACUUUUGACUAAGCAUUGACCUUAUCCAAAAAUCGCCCGUAUGCCCCCACAUGUUGCUUCAGUCAAUAUUUUGCGCUUUUUUUAAUCCAUAUAAUCAAGAUCAGUCACUCUUCAGUUAAAAGGUAAUACACUACAACUUCAAAUACAGUGCCUAAGUUCAUGAGUCAAAUGUACUAAUUAUCUACUUGAAAGGAACUAUGACUUGAAUAUUUCGUGUAACUAUAAAUGCAUCAAGUCAUAUAUAAAGCAAAAUAUAUCAAGCCAGAAUGCCAAGAAAAUAUAAUGCGUGAACAUGAUAGGAUUGAAAAAUUGGAAUCCUAUUAUAAAUAUUAAUAAAUAUGUUUAUUGUAAUAUUGUCAGCUUUUAAGGGCUUAUUUAAGGGAUUUAUUGUAACAAAUAUGUCCUUAAUAAUAUUAAUGUUAAACUAAUAUUUAUACUAAAAUUUUCAUCUCUUAUUUUAAUGUAAAAGAGAAUUCUAAAGAUAAAUAUAUUUUUUAAUAGGUUUGUACCAAAUACAAAAUUUAAAAAUGUAACUUUAAUGAAUAAAUAAUUUUAAUUAUCUUAUAUUUAAAUUCCUUUUCACUAAUUAUUAAUGAGUCUUUCUUUAUAUCUCUUUACAUUAAUUAAAUAUAAGAAAAAUAUAAAUUUGAAAAUAAAAUUAUAUGUUAAAAAAAAAAUCAUGCAUAUAACAUUGCUUUUAUAUAUAUAUAUAUCUUUGAAUACAUCUAAACUAGUUAGAUUUCUAUAAAAUGUAUUUUCAAGUUUUAUAUAUUAUUAUUGAUGAUAAAUUAUAUUAUGCCUAUAUUCAAAAGACAAAGAACUUGAAUAUGUAAUAUUUCUUGUUUUAUUUUAUUUUAUUUUUACAUUUUUAUGAGUUUUAAUUAAUUUUUAUUUCAUCAAUUUUUUUUAAAUAUUUUUUUUUUGAUAUUUUUGUAAAACCCAACUAUAGAAAUGCAUAUUUUUAUCCUUGGUUGUAUUUGAGCUAAGGGGGAGAAUUUUGGAACUGCUAAGGAGGGAAGGAUGCACAAUAGGAUUGAAAAAGAAUAUAGGUUAAAGGUGGAACCAAUGGUUCUCUCAUCGGAUUGUGAUACAUGGAGCAUGUCCUUCACUAUAUGGAAUAAGUGUAGUUUUUCCCAUGUACUUAUUAGAUCUUGGAGGGUGAAACAAUAAAUAAAGUAGUUAAACUAUUUGAAUCUUCGGGGCAUGAAGGGGAUUGUAGCGUAUGAGAGGACCAAUAAAAGUAUAUGGUAAAACACGGGAUGUUUCAAGGCUCAAAUUUUUGUGCUUUUUGUAAUAUGGUGAAAUGAUUUCUCUAAUUCAUAGAUAUAAAUAUAGUAAUUGGCCUAAGCAUAUUAAAUAUUCAUGUAACAUUUCAUCAUAUUAAAUACAGUAAUAGAUCAAAUUUUUAGGCUGUGUUUGGUUCCUUGAAAAUUUGAAGGAAAAUGUAUUAGAAAAAAUAGAGAGAAAAUUAAAACGAAAGAAAAAGUACAAAAAAUAAAAAAUACAUUUAAAAUCAAUAAAUUAGUUUUAUAUAUUACUUCAAAUCCAUUUAACAUAUUUAACUCUUCUAUAUAAAAAUUAAAUAAUUUAAAAUAUAUAAAUUCCUUGUUAAUUUUAAUUAUUUUUUACUUUCUCUCAUAUUAUUCAUAGUAAAAUCAAAUAGGAAAAAAAAUGUAUAUUUUCUUAACAUUUUUUCCUUUCUUAUUACUUUCUUGGAACCAAAGAUAACCUUACUUUCCACCUUUUUUCCAAGAAUGGAUUAAGAAAAAAAAAUUAAACAACAAAAAAGUGAAUGCUUUAUUAAGAACCAAAGUGCUACCAUCCCUUCAACCCAUUCAAUCUUUGGUUGAGAAGGUAAGGUUUGCAUACUUAUUUUUAUGUUAAACAUUUGAGAGUAAGGGUUAUGUUUAGUUUUUAGAAAAGUUAAAGGAAAAGAAAAUAGAGUGAAAAAAUGCAAGGAAAGAAAAAAUGAAUGAAAAUAAAAAAAAUAGAUUAAAAAUCAAUAAGUUAAUUUUAUAUAUUUUUUCAAACUAAUUUAAGUUAUUUUUGUUCAUAGUAUAAAAAUUGAAUAAUUUUAAAACAUAUAAAUUUUAAACUAAUUUUAAUUAUAUUUAAUAUUCUUUUUCUUUUCUUUUCUUUUUUAUAAUAAACUAAACAUAAGAAAUUUAUUUUUUUAAAUAAUUUUUUUAUUUCCUUAACGCUUUCAGAAACCAAAUAUAACCUAAAGAUUAAGUACCUAAAGCCUUUUUUUUUUUCCUGAUAAAUAAUAGCCUAGCCUUCCAAGUAGGUACUUAUUGUUAAUUGCUAACUAAACCUUUCUAACUAUGACAUUUAAAUACGUAACAGUAUGGUUUGUAGGGUACGUAUGUUAGGAGGUUCGUGGAAGCUAAGGGAUGGUCGGAAUAAAUGUGCAAACGACUUGGACUUUUAUUAGUCGUCUACUCUUUUUCUACCCACUAUUCGUUUGUCUUCAUUCAAUGUCUCUACCAAUAAGAAAAUAGUGCCACUAGGACCAAGAAAAAAAAACUUAUUAUUUGUUUUAUUAUAAAUUUUUAAUAUUUUUUAUUUUUUAUUAUAUUUUUAUGAGUUUUAAUUAAGUAAUUAUGUUUUUGGACAUUUCCAAUUUUUUUUUUUUUUUUAAAUUCAAUCAUUGACAUUUCUAUGUUAAUUUUGCCUUGUUAUGAGAAAUAGAUGGUGGAAUUUAUUUGAAAAUAUAAUUAGUUUUAUGAAACAAUUGAUUUAAAAGAUAUUUUUAAAAUGAGAGGUUUAGGAUGUAUUUGACAACGCUUUUAAAAAUAAUUACAUCUCUUUGCCACUGCACGGCUCUCACACUCUGAAUUCACAUACAGAUUUCCUGUCUUAGCCGGUACGAAAUUCAAAUGUUUUUUCCUCUAAAAACAAGGGCCUAAAAUUGAGAUGAGAUAGAACUAUCAUCCAACAUACAAACCAUACCCUAUUGAGUAAACAAGGGCCUCUAAAAAAAUGUUUUCUGAUCACUGCAGUACUGCACCUCUACCGCGCACUAGCCAAUGUGGACUGUUUCCACUCUUAAUUACCCAAAUGAGACGUUUGGAUCUGAUUGGGAAAAUUCAACGACUUUGGGAGUUCUACUUCUAGUUCUACCAGCCAGUCGCCGACCCACGGCUUUUAUAAGUCGUGUCUAAGUCUUCCAUUGCCCCAUUGAUUACUCAAUACCCAUUUGUCAUUAUCUCUAUGUCCCUGUCUUCUCGAGUUCUUCUCACCCAUUAUUUUUACGUAGGGAAUGCUAUUUUAUUUUUCGUGUAUAGAUUAUCAUCCGGUGCUAAUAUAAUUUUAUGAAUAUCCAUAAUAGUAGUAUCUGCAUAUAAUAUUGGCCAUCUCCUUCCCUGCUUCAUCUUCCACCAUGACGAAUACUGGCGACAGAUGCCUCUGUUUAAUCAGUCCAUCCACUCUCACCCUUCUCUAUCUCUUUAUCUUCCUCCACUACCUCACCAUCCCCAUCGCCGGUUACACCCCUACAGAAAACUUCGCCAUCAAUUGUGGCUCCUCCGAAAAUUGGCAAGACUUGGGCAGGAACUGGACGGGGGACGUCGGUUCCAAAUUCUCCCCCUUGGAAAAGGGCAAGCUAUCAACAACAUCUCAAGCAGAUAAACCAUCCUCUUCAUCGGUUCUCUAUUCCACAGCGCGGCUUUCUCGCUAUGAGUUCACAUACUCAUUUCCCCUCACAGCCGGCCAGAAAUUCAUUCGCUUGCACUUUUAUCCAUCUUCAUACGGGGAGUUCGACGGAUCUAAAGCUUUUUUCUCCGUCAAAACCGGUGGUGGCUACACUCUUCUUAGCAACUUCAGUGCUGCCCUUGCUGCUGAAGAUCUUCAAAAGGAAACGAUAGUGAGAGAAUUCUGUAUCUACUUCAAUGAAGAAGGUGGGAAGCUGAAUAUAACAUUCACUCCCACUGCGGCUGCAGAUGCAUACGCUUUUAUUAACGGAAUUGAAAUAGUCUCCAUGCCCAACGAUCUCUACUACAGUUCUCCACAAGAUGUAGGGUUUCAGUUAAUCGGUCAACAGAAUUCAUUUCGCAUUGAAACAGAUUAUGCUCUGGAAAUGGUAUACCGACUAAACGUAGGCAUGCAAUAUGUUUCGGCCAAGGAUGACACCGGCAUGUUCCGUACUUGGGAUAUGGACGAUGACUACUGUAUGAAACUAGCAUUUGUACCCGCCAACACCAGCAUUAAUCUCAAAUUCACCAAAAUACCAAAUUACACGGCACCUCAUGAUGUCUACCGCACCGCCCGGACCAUGGGAAACAACAAAACUGAGAACAUGGGAUACAAUCUUACUUGGGUUUUGCCUGUGGACUCUGGUUUUUAUUACCUGAUUAGAUUACAUUUUUGCGAGUUCCAACCAGAGAUCCAGCAGCAGCACGACAGGGAGUUCACGAUUUUCAUAGCUAACCAGACGGCGGAGAAUCAUGCAGACGUGAUCACAUGGAGCGGCGGAAACGGAGUUCCCAUAUACAGAGAUUAUGGGGUAAUGAUGCCAAGCCAGGGAAGUAACAAAAAACAAAACCUCUACAUACAACUGCAUCCUAACCCGGAUUAUGAAACCGUUUACAAUGAUGCAAUCCUCAACGGAAUCGAGCUAUUCAAACUCAGCAAUCCUGAAAAAAGCCUCGCCGGGCCCAAUCCAGACCCAUCGGAGGCUCCUGCCCCACCACCACCUGUACAGUCUACCUCGCCCAAGAGUAACAAAACAAAGCUUAUCGCAAUUGCCGGUAGCGUGGUCGCAGGCCUAAUCGCGCUCUCUGUUAUAGCUCUCUUUAUUGUCUGGCGAGGAAGGAGAGUGAGAGAUUCAGAACCCAGCGAUGGAGGAUCAUGGUGGGGCCAAUUUUCUUAUACCUCGGUGAAGUCCACGAAGACCAGCCGCUCAUCUCUGCCCUCCGAUCUGUGCCGUCUCUUCACUCUGCAAGAAAUCAAGGUGGCCACUAACAACUUCGACAACGUCUUCAUCAUCGGCGUCGGAGGCUUUGGGAACGUGUACAAAGGGUAUAUCAACGGCGGAACAACACCGGUGGCUAUCAAACGGUUGAAUCCAGAGUCACAGCAGGGGGCCCAGGAAUUCCAGACUGAGAUCGAGAUGCUUUCCCAGCUCCGCCACCUUCAUCUGGUAUCUCUAAUCGGCUACUGCAACGACGAUCGCGAGAUGAUCCUCGUGUACGAUUACAUGGCCCACGGUACUCUCCGCGAUCAUCUCUACAAAACAGAUAAUCCUCCAUUGUCGUGGAAGCAGAGGCUCGAGAUUUGCAU